rnacentral:rRNA from 1 species
AUUGAACGCUGGCGGCAGGCCUAACACAUGCAAGUCGAGCGGAUGAAGAGAGCUUGCUCUCUGAUUUAGCGGCGGACGGGUGAGUAAUGCCUAGGAAUCUGCCUGGUAGUGGGGGAUAACGUUCCGAAAGGAACGCUAAUACCGCAUACGUCCUACGGGAGAAAGCAGGGGACCUUCGGGCCUUGCGCUAUCAGAUGAGCCUAGGUCGGAUUAGCUAGUUGGUGGGGUAAAGGCUCACCAAGGCGACGAUCCGUAACUGGUCUGAGAGGAUGAUCAGUCACACUGGAACUGAGACACGGUCCAGACUCCUACGGGAGGCAGCAGUGGGGAAUAUUGGACAAUGGGCGAAAGCCUGAUCCAGCCAUGCCGCGUGUGUGAAGAAGGUCUUCGGAUUGUAAAGCACUUUAAGUUGGGAGGAAGGGUUGUAACCUAAUACGUUGCAAUUUUGACGUUACCGACAGAAUAAG